rnacentral:sRNA from 1 species
UUUAUGAUUAGAUUCAUCUAUAACUCGAAAUAUCAAUUCUACUACAAUAUGUAUAUUUAUAUAUUUAUUAUUCUAAUAUUUCACUAUCAUGAUCACAUACUACAACAAUAUAUGAUAUACUGAUACAAUGUACAGUAUGUAGUUAUAUUACUUAUGUGUUUUGAAACUUGUCUAACUUAAUUGUAACAAACGAUUAUUUAUUCCAUAUACUCUCUCGUCAUCUAGUACACAAUCACAUCAUGAUAUGCUAGUAAUUUAAGUCAACACUGUAAUUUUCAUCCCUACCAUAAAGUCAUAUAGAGUCUCAUUUUUUUUUUUGUAUGUCUAAUGUCUUGGAUGACUAUUACGUGAAAUGUACAUAAAGAAGGUCAUAUGAUAAAUCAAAUUCACAAAACAUAAUAAUAAAAAAAUAUCCAACUAAAAUUACUAAAUUAAUAUGAGGUUAGGUAGCAAACAUCUAAACUCCAACACAAGUAAAAUUUUAGCCAUUAUGGGUUAAUAACUAUUGA